rnacentral:rRNA from 1 species
AGAUUGAACGCUGGCGGCAGGCCUAACACAUGCAAGUCGAGCGGCAGCACGGGUACUUGUACCUGGUGGCGAGCGGCGGACGGGUGAGUAAUGCCUAGGAAUCUGCCUGAUAGUGGGGGAUAACGUUCGGAAACGGACGCUAAUACCGCAUACGUCCUACGGGAGAAAGUGGGGGAUCUUCGGACCUCACGCUAUCAGAUGAGCCUAGGUCGGAUUAGCUAGUUGGUAGGGUAAAGGCCUACCAAGGCUACGAUCCGUAAC